rnacentral:rRNA from 1 species
AUUGAACGCAGGCGGCAGGCUUAACACAUGCAAGUCGAGCGGAGACUUCGGUCUUAGCGGCGAACGGGUGAGUAAUACCUAGGAAUCUGCCUAUUAGUGGGGGAUAACGAAUCGAAAGGUUCGCUAAUACCGCAUACGACCUGAGGGUGAAAGCGGGGGACCGCAAGGCCUCGCGCGAUAGGAGCGGCCGAUAUCGGAUUAGCUAGUUGGUGAGGUAAAGGCUCACCAAGGCGACGAUCCGUAGCGGGUCUGAGAGGACGACCCGCCACACUGGAACUGAGACACGGUCCAGACUCCUACGGGAGGCAGCAGUGGGGAAUUUUGGACAAUGGGGGCGAACCCUGAUCCAGCCAUUCCGCGUGAGUGAAGAAGGCCUC